rnacentral:rRNA from 1 species
AUUGAACGCUGGCGGCAGGCCUAACACAUGCAAGUCGACGUAGUGGCGGACGGGUGAGUAACACGUGGGUAACCUGCCCAUCAGUAGGGGCUAACAAUUGGAACCAGGUGCUAAUACCGUAUACUGAUGGGUGGACCCGGGGUGCAUUAGCUAGCUGGGGAGGUAACGGCUCACCAGGGCGACGAUGCAUAGCCGACCUGAGAGGGUGAUCGGUCACAUGGGGACGUAGACACGGCCCAAACUCCUACGGGAGGCAGCAGUAGGGAAUCUUCGGCAAUGGACGAAAGUCUGACCGAGCAACGCCGCGUGAGUGAAGAAGGUUUUCGGAUCGUAAAGCUCUUUUGUUAGAGAAGCGUUAUCUAACCAGAAAGCCACGGCUAACUACGUGCCAGCCGCCGCGGUAAUAC